CAGGGAUUGCCCUAGUAACGGCGAGUGAAGCGGCAACAGCUCAAAUUUGAAAUCUGGCUCUCGGGCCCGAGUUGUAAUUUGUAGAGGAUACUUUUGAUGCGGUGCCUUCCGAGUUUCCUGGAACGGGACGCCAUAGAGGGUGAGAGCCCCGUCUGGUUGGAUGCCAAAUCUCUGUAAAGUUCCUUCAACGAGUCGAGUAGUUUGGGAAUGCUGCUCUAAAUGGGAGGUAUAUGUCUUCUAAAGCUAAAUACCGGCCAGAGACCGAUAGCGCACAAGUAGAGUGAUCGAAAGAUGAAAAGCACUUUGAAAAGAGAGUUAAAAAGUACGUGAAAUUGUUGAAAGGGAAGCGUUUAUGACCAGACUUGGGCUUGGUUAAUCAUCUGGGGUUCUCCCCAGUGCACUUUUCCAGUCCAGGCCAGCAUCAGUUUUCCCCGGGGGAUAAAGACGGCGGGAAUGUGGCUCUCUUCGGGGAGUGUUAUAGCCCACCGUGUAAUACCCUGGGGGGGACUGAGGUUCGCGCAUCUGCAAGGAUGCUGGCGUAAUGGUCAUCAACGACCCGUCUUGAAACACGGACCAAGGAGUCGUCUUCGUAUGCGAGUGUUCGGGUGUCAAACCCCUACGCGUAAUGAAAGUGAACGCAGGUGAGAGCUUCGGCGCAUCAUCGACCGAUCCUGAUGUUCUCGGAUGGAUUUGAGUAAGAGCAUACGGGGCCGGACCCGAAAGAAGGUGAACUAUGCCUGUAUAGGGUGAAGCCAGAGGAAACUCUGGUGGAGGCUCGCAGCGGUUCUGACGUGCAAAUCGAUCGUCAAAUAUGGGCAUGGGGGCGAAAGACUAAUCG
rnacentral:rRNA from 1 species